rnacentral:rRNA from 1 species
GAUGAACGCUGGCGGCGUGCUUAACACUUGCAAGUCGAACGAAGCACCUUAUUCUGAUUUCUUCGGAAUGAAAAAUUUGGUGACUGAGUGGCGGGCGGGUGAGUAACGCGUGGGUAACCUGCCUCAUACAGGGGGAUAACAGUUAGAAAUGACUGCUAAUACCGCAUAAGACCACAGCACCGCAUGGUGCAGGGGUAAAAACUCCGGUGGUAUGAGAUGGACCCGCGUCUGAUUAGGUAGUUGGUGGGGUAACGGCCUACCAAGCCGACGAUCAGUAGCCGACCUGAGAGGGUGACCGGCCACAUUGGGACUGAGACACGGCCCAAACUCCUACGGGAGGCAGCAGUGGGGAAUAUUGCACAAUGGGGGAAACCCUGAUGCAGCGACGCCGCGUGAGCGAUGAAGUAUUUCGGUGUGUAAAGCUCUAUCAGCAGGGAAGAAAAUGACGGUACCUGACUAAGAAGCACCGGCUAAAUACGUGCCAGCAGCCGCGGUAA